CCCAGUUCGGAUAAGAGGCUGAAACUCGCCUCUUUGAAGUCGGAAUCGCUAGUAAUCGCAGAUCAGCAUGUUGCGGUGAAUACGUUCCCGGGUCUUGUACACACCGCCCGUCAAACCAUGAGAGUCACCAACACCCGAAGUCCGCCUUGGCGGCCUAAGGUGGGGGAGAUGAUUGGGGUUAAGUCGUAACAAGGUACC
rnacentral:rRNA from 1 species